GGCCAACUGCCCUGAGAUGAUGAGCUCCUGCUUCCAAAUUGGUUUGUUUUGUUUUUGCCUUUUAAAAACCGUCUUGAGUUUAUUAUGGCCAAAGGCUAGGUGAGCGGGGAACCUGCUCAUAGCCGACCUUGAGAAAUGUAGGCAGAACGUCCAUUGGCAGCAGAGAGCUGAGGAAGUGUUGGGCUGAGCCUUACAAGAGAUGCUGCAGCAGAAGCCUGAGCUCUCCCUUCUGAUGGCUGGCUGGGAAGUCAGCUCUUCCCCCAGAAAGCCCCAUCUGUAUCCCCGUUGACAUACUGAUGUAAGGCUUUAUGAUCACUGCUCAGCCCCUCACCUGAGGAAUCAGAUUCUUAUGUACCCGCCUCAGCUUGGCUCGCUUCUGCCCAUUCUUUGUGACGAUUGUCUCCUCAUAGAAUUCGUGAGCCAGAUCUCCAUCUUCAUCAUAGAACAUGGAGCUGUGUAGAGAAGGGAAACAGGCUGGAUUGGAGCCUCAUACCUGGCCUUGGCAAGUGCCACAGACCACAGGGAAGUAUGCUGAACCCCAAGAGAAGACACAAUGGUAAUCUCCGUGUUAGAACUCUUUGGUUGGGGCCUGGAGGGAAGCAGGCAGUGUGACAAGGCCACUGUUGCCCUGUCAUGCCAACAGGACAUCAUAUCAGAGCACCCUGUCU
rnacentral:lncRNA from 1 species